UCCUGGGAAGAAUAUCCAAGAGAUGGUAGAAACUGACUGCUAGCUGAAGACUUGUCUGUUGAAGGGCAGGAGAAAGGUUAGUUGUGGGAUAUUGGUGUCAGGUUUGGGGAAUUAUGAUUUUCCAGUCUUUUAGAUGACGCAGAGCAUAACUGAGAAGUUUAAGUAACUUCCCCACAGUUACUCAUCAGAGAGAGAUGUUUCACCCUGCACAUGCAAAGCAAGUAGACAAACACAGGUGCCAGAGGUGAAUUGCUGCAUCUGGCACUUCUCAUCUUCCCACUCAUCUCUGGGCACCUGUUACCAUCAUCUGUCCAGCAGAGAGAAGUCCCUCCAUCAGUCCCAGUAAGUGCUCUAGGGAGUAACUUCCCCCUUCCUCGAUGCAACCUGGAAGUGCUGCCCUCCAGUUUGCAUUUCAAGUUCCAAGUCAGCCAUGUCACGAUUUGAGCAACAACCAAGGAGGAUAAUGGCUCAGAUGUAAAUAAGAAGUAAAACUACUGGUGAAGUAAGGUUUCUUUCUUUCUGCCCAUCAGAUUACAAACCUUAGCCCCACCAUCACUUAGAAAAGCUCAUCUGUAACAGCAAACCCUGCAUAACUGUUCUAUUGUAUCAGAUGGAAACCAACUAACCAGACACCACAAUACAAAAAAAUACACACAUUGUACCUCAGAAAAAUAUGGGGCUGAAAACACAGGAAAAAUGCAGUCUUGUUAAAAUGUGGACAUGGUCCAAUAAUAGAAUGAGUAGGGAAACUUGAAUAGAUCAGAGUCAAAAAACACUCUGCUUAAAUCUUGAGAUUUUUUAUUUGCCAUUCAGCUUACAUCAGUGU
rnacentral:lncRNA from 1 species